rnacentral:rRNA from 1 species
GACGAACGCUGGCGGCACGCCUAACACAUGCAAGUCGAACGGUGAAGAGAAGCUUGCUUCUCGGAUCAGUGGCGGACGGGUGAGUAACAUGUGAGGAACCUGCCUUUCAGAGGGGGAUAACGUUUGGAAACGAACGCUAAUACCGCAUAACAUAUUCGGACGGCAUCGUCUGAAUAUCAAAGGAGUAAUCCGCUGAAAGAUGGCCUCGCACCCGAUUAGAUAGUUGGUGAGGUAACGGCUCACCAAGUCGACGAUCAGUAGCCGGACUGAGAGGUUGAACGGCCACAUUGGGACUGAGACACGGCCCAGACUCCUACGGGAGGCAGCAGUGGGGGAUAUUGCGCAAUGGGGGAAACCCUGACGCAGCGAUGCCGCGUGGAGGAAGAAGGUUUUCGGAUUGUAAACUCCUGUCUUCAGGGACGAUAAUGACGGUACCUGAGGAGGAAGCUCCGGCUAACUACGUG